UGAACUCCUCCAACGAUUUAAGCAAUAAAAAUAUGUUUGGCUUAGAAUCGAAAAUAUCAAACAAAACUACCACGGUCGCUUCAGAUCAAUUUUUCAGAUAACAAUAACUAUCAUUGAUCAUGAAGAAACAUACUAAUCAGGACACAAUGACGCGAAGAGGACACAGUUAUUUUUGGAUAAAAAUAGAUUAAAUGGCGUUUCUCUUGCUCGUUUGUAAAGGUAAUUAAACAAAAGAAAUUAAAAAAAUAUAUUUGAUUCAA